UUACAAGUUUUAGGAUUAUGAAUGGGGAAGAGCUUGGAGCUAAGGAUGUGUUGGAUGGGAGAAGAAUUGAGUGGAGGUUCUUAGAUGUGUGAAGUGGUGCACAUGCCAAAUCCCAGGAAAAGAGAGAGAGAAGGACAGACUCCAGCUAGCAAUGUGGGCUUCCACUUCACAGAGGUUGGGAGGAUAGGAGGAACUGGUUACCAGGAGGCCGGAGGAAGACUGUAGAGGGUGACUUAGUGUCCAAUAGCUAAUUUGAUUACUGUGAAGUUUUCACUACUACUUCUGAAGCACAGUAUUAGGACUGCUUGCAAA
rnacentral:lncRNA from 1 species